GUGAGGAAAGCGGGCCUCUUCAUGAAAGCUCGCGCUCCCAGAUGGGUCCGCGCCUGAUUAGCUAGUUGGUGAGGUAAUGGCUCACCAAGGCGACGAUCAGUAGCCGGCCUGAGAGGGUGAUCGGCCACACUGGAACUGAGACACGGUCCAGACUCCUACGGGAGGCAGCAGUGGGGAAUAUUGGACAAUGGGGGAAACCCGUGAUCCAGCAACGCCGCGUGGAGGACGAAGGCUUCGGGUCGUAAACUCCUGUCAGUUGGGACGAAAAGGUGUCGGAGUAAUACCCGGCAUCCAUGACGGUACCUUCAGAGGAAGCCCCGGCUAACUCCGUG
rnacentral:rRNA from 1 species